UUUAUUUUAUUAUUUUGGAAUUGCAAAUCUCUUUAUGGGUUUGAGAUUCAAAUACUUCCUUGAACGGAAUUAUUUUGUUGUAAUUUAUAACUUGACAACAAUCUCAUACACUUGCAAGUAGUAGUAGAAAAGGUGACAAUGUCUUUUGAGCUUAAAAUUAUUUAUUUUGUUAUUAUUUAUAUAUACACUUUUCUUGCAUUAGAAACACCUGUUGAAGGAUGGAUUAAAUUUAACCCAGAAGAGCAAUUAUAUCUGAAAGUUUCAGUGCAUUUUUAGGACUCUUCCGACAUCCACAAGUAUCUGGUUACAAGGCUAUUGUCGCAAGAAUGGAGUAUGCUUAGUUACUCAAGCUAAGUUAUGGGGGAUUUUUUUAUGGACUUAAAAUUGAAAGGAGUUGCGGUUUCAGAAGACUACUGGUGGAAUCUAAUAACCCGUCCAUAGUAAAAUUGCUCAAAGGAGUGAUAGAUGAUGGAGCAGGCUUAGAGUCAGUGAGGAGUAUCCUGGAGCUUAAAAGCAGACCAUGGGAUCUACUAGCUAAGAACACAUAGAAAGGCAAAUGAAGUUGCAAAUUUCAUGACUAUUUACCUAAUAAAUAAUUCCUUAGGCUUGGUUCAUCUUAAUGUAUCACCACAAGGCAUCAAUAGGAUCCUUAAUGCUAACAUUCAUGGAGAAUUUAGAGAAAAAAUUGUUAAUCAAAAUAAUUGAGGACUAGCUAUUAACAUUCUUUCUUGUAAACA
rnacentral:lncRNA from 1 species